UCUUGGUCAUUUAGAGGAAGUAAAAGUCGUAACAAGGUUUCCGUAGGUGAACCUGCGGAAGGAUCAUUAAAGAAAUUUAAUAAUUUUGAAAAUGGAUUUUUUUGUUUUGGCAAGAGCAUGAGAGCUUUUACUGGGCAAGAAGACAAGAGAUGGAGAGUCCAGCCGGGCCUGCGCUUAAGUGCGCGGUCGUGCUAGGCUUGUAAGUUUCUUUCUUGCUAUUCCAAACGGUGAGAGAUUUCUGUGCUUUUGUUAUAGGACAAUUAAAACCGUUUCAAUACAACACACUGUGGAGUUUUCAUAUCUUUGCAACUUUUUCUUUGGGCAUUCGAGCAAUCGGGGCCCAGAGGUAACAAACACAAACAAUUUUAUCUAUUCAUUAAAUUUUUGUCAAAAACAAGAAUUUUCGUAACUGGAAAUUUUAAAAUAUUAAAAACUUUCAACAACGGAUCUCUUGGUUCUCGCAUCGAUGAAGAACGCAGCGAAAUGCGAUACGUAAUGUGAAUUGCAGAAUUCCGUGAAUCAUCGAAUCUUUGAACGCACAUUGCGCCCCUUGGUAUUCCAGGGGGCAUGCCUGUUUGAGCGUCAUUUCCUUCUCAAACAUUCUGUUUGGCAGUGAGUGAUACUCUUUGGAGUUAACUUGAAAUUGCUGGCCUUUUCAUUGGAUGUUUUUUUUCCAAAGAGAGGUUUCUCUGCGUGCUUGAGGUAUAAUGCAAGUACGGUCGUUUUAGGCUUUACCAACUGCGGCUAAUCUUUUUUUAUACUGAGCGUAUUGGAACGUUAUCGAUAAGAAGAGAGCGUCUAGGCGAACAAUGUUCUUAAAGUUUGACCUCAAAUCAGGUAGGAGUACCCGCUGAACUUAAGCAUAUCAAUAAGCGGAG
rnacentral:rRNA from 1 species